rnacentral:rRNA from 1 species
UACGGGAGGCAGCAGUGGGGAAUCUUGCGCAAUGGGCGAAAGCCUGACGCAGCCAUGCCGCGUGAAUGAUGAAGGUCUUAGGAUUGUAAAAUUCUUUCACCGGGGACGAUAAUGACGGUACCCGGAGAAGAAGCCCCGGCUAACUUCGUGCCAGCAGCCGCGGUAAUACGAAGGGGGCUAGCGUUGCUCGGAAUUACUGGGCGUAAAGGGCACGCAGGCGGUUAAUUAAGUUGGAUGUGAAAUCCCCGGGCUUAACCUGGGAAUGGCAUUCAAGACUGGUUAGCUAGAGUCUUGUAGAGGGGGGUAGAAUUCCAUGUGUAGCGGUGAAAUGCGUAGAGAUGUGGAGGAAUACCGGUGGCGAAGGCGGCCCCUGGACAAAGACUGACGCUCAUGUGCGAAAGCGUGGGGAGCAAACAGGGAUUAGAUACC